AAAUUGAAGAGUUUGAUCAUGGCUCAGAUUGAACGCUGGCGGCAGGCCUAACACAUGCAAGUCGAACGGUAACAGGAAGCAGCUUGCUGCUUUGCUGACGAGUGGCGGACGGGUGAGUAAUGUCUGGGAAACUGCCUGAUGGAGGGGGAUAACUACUGGAAACGGUAGCUAAUACCGCAUAACGUCGCAAGACCAAAGAGGGGGACCUUCGGGCCUCUUGCCAUCGGAUGUGCCCAGAUGGGAUUAGCUAGUAGGUGGGGUAAAGGCUCACCUAGGCGACGAUCCCUAGCUGGUCUGAGAGGAUGACCAGCCACACUGGAACUGAGACACGGUCCAGACUCCUACGGGAGGCAGCAGUGGGGAAUAUUGCACAAUGGGCGCAAGCCUGAUGCAGCCAUGCCGCGUGUAUGAAGAAGGCCUUCGGGUUGUAAAGUACUUUCAGCGGGGAGGAAGGGAGUAAAGUUAAUACCUUUGCUCAUUGACGUUACCCGCAGAAGAAGCACCGGCUAACUCCGUGCCAGCAGCCGCGGUAAUACGGAGGGUGCAAGCGUUAAUCGGAAUUACUGGGCGUAAAGCGCACGCAGGCGGUUUGUUAAGUCAGAUGUGAAAUCCCCGGGCUCAACCUGGGAACUGCAUCUGAUACUGGCAAGCUUGAGUCUCGUAGAGGGGGGUAGAAUUCCAGGUGUAGCGGUGAAAUGCGUAGAGAUCUGGAGGAAUACCGGUGGCGAAGGCGGCCCCCUGGACGAAGACUGACGCUCAGGUGCGAAAGCGUGGGGAGCAAACAGGAUUAGAUACCCUGGUAGUCCACGCCGUAAACGAUGUCGACUUGGAGGUUGUGCCCUUGAGGCGUGGCUUCCGGAGCUAACGCGUUAAGUCGACCGCCUGGGGAGUACGGCCGCAAGGUUAAAACUCAAAUGAAUUGACGGGGGCCCGCACAAGCGGUGGAGCAUGUGGUUUAAUUCGAUGCAACGCGAAGAACCUUACCUGGUCUUGACAUCCACGGAAGUUUUCAGAGAUGAGAAUGUGCCUUCGGGAACCGUGAGACAGGUGCUGCAUGGCUGUCGUCAGCUCGUGUUGUGAAAUGUUGGGUUAAGUCCCGCAACGAGCGCAACCCUUAUCCUUUGUUGCCAGCGGUCCGGCCGGGAACUCAAAGGAGACUGCCAGUGAUAAACUGGAGGAAGGUGGGGAUGACGUCAAGUCAUCAUGGCCCUUACGACCAGGGCUACACACGUGCUACAAUGGCGCAUACAAAGAGAAGCGACCUCGCGAGAGCAAGCGGACCUCAUAAAGUGCGUCGUAGUCCGGAUUGGAGUCUGCAACUCGACUCCAUGAAGUCGGAAUCGCUAGUAAUCGUGGAUCAGAAUGCCACGGUGAAAUACGUUCCCGGGCCUUUGUACACACCGCCCGGUCACCACCAUGGGAGUGGGUUGCAAAAGAAGUAGGUAGCUUAACCUUCGGGAGGGCGCUUACCACUUUGUGAUUCAUGACUGGGGUGAAGUCGUAACAAGGUAACCGUAGGGGAACCUGCGGUUGGAUCACCUCCUUA
rnacentral:rRNA from 1 species